ensembl:rRNA 5S_rRNA 5S ribosomal RNA
ACCCUGAACGCGCCUGAUCUCCUCUGAUCUCGGAAGCUAAGCAGGGUC